UGGGGAAUAUUGGACAAUGGACCAAAAGUCUGAUCCAGCAAUUCUGUGUGCACGAUGACGUUUUUCGGAAUGUAAAGUGCUUUCAGUUAGGAAGAAAAAAAUGACGGUACCAACAGAAGAAGUGACGGCUAAAUACGUGCCAGCAGCCGCGGUAAUACGUAUGUCACAAGCGUUAUCCGGAUUUAUUGGGCGUAAAGCGCGUCUAGGUGGUUAUGUAAGUCUGAUGUGAAAAUGCAGGGCUCAACUCUGUAUUGCGUUGGAAACUGUAUGACUAGAGUACUGGAGAGGUAAGCGGAACUACGAGUGUAAAGGUGAAAUUCGUANAUNUUUGUAGGAAUGCCGAUGGGGAAGCCAGCUUACUGGACAGAUACUGACGCUAAAGCGCGAAAGCGUGGGUAGCANACAGGAUUANAUACCCUGGUAGUCCACGCCGUANACGAUGAUUACUANGUGUUGGGGGUCGAACCUCANCGCCCANGCUAACGCGAUAAGUAAUCCGCCUGGGGAGUACGUACGCAAGUAUG
rnacentral:rRNA from 1 species